CAGCCGUAAACUAUGCGCGUUAGGUGUACUGGUGACCACGAGUCACCGGGGUGCCGAAGGGAAACCGUGAAACGUGCCACCUGGGAAGUACGGUCGCAAGGCUGAAACUUAAAGGAAUUGGCGGGGAGCACCACAACGGGUGGAGCCUGCGGUUUAAUUGGACUCAACGCCGGAAAUCUCACCGGAUAGGACAGACAUAUGAUAGUCGGGCUGAAGACUCUACUUGAUGAUCUGAGAGGAGGUGCAUGGCGUCAGUGACU
rnacentral:rRNA from 1 species